rnacentral:snRNA from 1 species
GCCCUAGCUUCGGUUGGACAUAUACUAAAAUUGGAACGAUACAGAGAAGAUUAGCAUGGUCCCUGCGCAAGGAUGAUGAAAAAUUUAGCCGCUAGGUAGCGCUAGUGUGU